GCUCCUGUAGCUCAGAUGGAAGAGCACCGGUACGAUAUCACUUAAAGCAACAUCAGAAGACGUGGGUGCAACUCCCGCCAGGUGCC